GAUGGACGCUGGCGGUGUGCCUAAUGCAUGCAAGUCGUACGCAUUCUCGUUUCUGAUUGACGGUGCUUGCACCUAAUUGACGAGACAUUGGAAUGAGUGGCGGACGGGUGAGUAACACGUGGGUAACCUGCCCAGAAGUGGGGGAUAACAUUUGGAAACAGAUGCUAAUACCGCAUAAAAGUCAAAACCACAUGGUUUUGAUUUAAAAGAUGGCCUUUGUGCUAUCACUUCUGGAUGGACCCGCGGCGUAUUAGCUAGUUGGUAAGGUAACGGCUUACCAAGGCAAUGAUACGUAGCCGAACUGAGAGGUUGAUCGGCCACAAUGGGACUGAGACACGGCCCAUACUCCUACGGGAGGCAGCAGUAGGAAUCUUCCACAAUGGGCGCAAGCCUGAUGGAGCAACACCGCGUGAGUGAAGAAGGGUUUCGGCUCGUAAAACUCUGUUGUUAAAGAAGAACGUAUCUAAGAGUAACUGCUUAGGUAGUGACGGUAUUUAACCAGAAAGCCACGGCUAACUACGUGCCAGCCGCCGCGGUAA
rnacentral:rRNA from 1 species